rnacentral:rRNA from 1 species
AGAGCGAACGCUGGCGGCAGGCUUAACACAUGCAAGUCGAGCGCUCGUAGCAAUACGGGAGCGGCAGACGGGAGAGUAACACGUGGGAACGUACCCUUCGGUUCGGAAUAACCCAGGGAAACUUGGGCUAAUACCGGAUACGUCCGUAAGGAGAAAGAUUUAUCGCCGAGGGAUCGGCCCGCGUCCGAUUAGCUAGUUGGUGGGGUAAUGGCCCACCAAGGCGACGAUCGGUAGCUGGUCUGAGAGGAUGAUCAGCCUCACUGGGACUGAGACACGGCCCAGACUCCUACGGGAGGCAGCAGUGGGGAAUAUUGGACAAUGGGCGCAAGCCUGAUCCAGCCAUGCCGCGUGGGUGAUGAAGGCCUUAGGGUUGUAAAGCCCUUUCGGCGGGGAAGAUAAUGACGGUACCCGCAGAAGAAGCCCCGGCUAACGUUCGUGCCAGCAGCCGC